rnacentral:lncRNA from 1 species
ACUUGAGGCAAAGACGUUCUCUUUGGAGAUACAAGCUGCGCCAUGUGAUGACAUUUUGGUCAAAGAUGGACUGCAUGCAUGAUGCUCAGCUGACUUGUAAGAUUGUGAUGGACACAGAGCCUGCCUGUGUGCCGUGUUAG